UACAGAGGGUGCAAGCGUUGUUCGGAAUUAUUGGGCGUAAAGCGCGUGUAGGCGGCUUUGCAAGUCGGGUGUGAAAGCCCUCAGCUCAACUGAGGAAGUGCGCCCGAAACUGCAGAGCUUGAGUGCCGGAGAGGGUGGCGGAAUUCCCCAAGUAGAGGCGAAAUUCGUAGAUAUGGGGAGGAACACCAGGUGGCGAAGGCGGCUCCUGGACCGGUAACUGACGCUGAGGCGCGAAAGCGUGGGGAGCAAACAGG
rnacentral:rRNA from 1 species